rnacentral:rRNA from 1 species
GAUGAACGCUGGCGGCGUGCCUAAUACAUGCAAGUCGAGCGAACAGGCGAUGAUCUUGCGCCUCUCACGUUAGGGGCGCACGGGUGAGUAACACGUGUAAAACCUACUUAUAAUACGGGGAUAACUUCGGGAAACCGGAGCUAAUACCGUAUGAUCUAUUGAACCGCAGGGUUCAAUAGUGAAAUACGGUGUUGCUGUCACUUAUAGAUGGAUCCGCGCCGCAUUAGCUAGUUGGGAAGGUAACGGCUUACCAAGGCAACCAUGCGUAGCCGGCGGGAUAGAGUGAUAGGCCACACUGGAACGGGGCCACGGUCCAGGCUCCUGCGGGAGGCAGCAGUCUGCAACCUUCCGCAAUGGGGGAAAGCCUGGCGGAACAAGGCCGCGUGAGUGAUGGAGGCCUUCGGUUCGUAAAGCUCUGUUAUUAGGGGAGAACAACUGUGUAAGUAAAUAUGGCCGUCUUGACGGUACCUAAUCAGAAAGCACCGGCUAACUACGUG